CCUCAUUUAAUAGUCGGAUGGCUGCGAACGGCAGCCUCCUUGGUAGGGUAUGCAGCCUGUUGAUUGUACAGGUUGCCCUAAGGGACCUUGGAGACAGCU
rnacentral:snoRNA from 1 species